AAUAUGUUCACUGGAGGACGGACGCCAUGAGCCGCGGUGGCAUCAGCACCAGGCUGCAGGGAGAGGAAACUGCGCAGCUUCCUCUUUCCACUGCAUCUGUGGUGCAUUGGAGGCCGGGAGUAAAACAAGAUAACGGAGGACUUCAGCAGAUGGUCUGAGUGGAGACUGUGCUAGGGACAGAUUGAGGUUAAGCUGCAGUUCAGACAAGACAAGAGUCUGUCGGUCAGUUCUCCGGGCCAAACCACGUGCAGAAACGAGUCAGCAACUUCACAAGAUCAGCGUUUACGCCAGGAUUUCUGGAAACCGAGGCAGAGCCCGACCAAUUCAAGGGAAACCAAGGAAGUAGAUGGAGAAGUUUUGAGAUUUGUUGAAUGGGGUUAAAAACACCCCAAAAACCACCAUAAUCCUGUCCACCUCCAUGUGGUGUUAAGAGAUUCUGAAACCUUGAAGAUGAACGUUGUCCUGAGUAAUUCAAACCAGAACAGCCACCUGUAGCUUUCCAGGUUCAUGUCAGUUAAAAGGUGACAAUCGCCGACCAGAAAUCAGCCACAGACGUUACGGCCAGUUGCGUAAAAUACAGAGAAGGAAAAGCGUAACAGCAACAGGGUCCUGGAAUGUCAUGGUUGCUUGAUGCAUGUGGGGAGUGAAUGCUGGCCUGUGUAGUCGGGGCCAACACACCAGCCACUGUAGUUCACAAGUCAAUGCUGGUCCCAGCAGAAACUGGCCAGAAAAGUGUAUUAUUGCAGGUUUCAUUUCCAGGAAACGCUGACUAAUCUGGCUCAGGAAUGGAAAGUAGUUCCACCUCAGAGACAACAAAGUGUUGCGCUAUUACUGUCUUUAAUUGAAGAAAAUUCUAGUUCACUUUAGUUUUCAACUAAACCUGAUUCAGCUGAAU